rnacentral:rRNA from 1 species
GAUGAACGCUGGCGGCGUGCCUAAUACAUGCAAGUCGAGCGAACGGACGAGAAGCUUGCUUUUCUGAUGUUAGCGGCGGACGGGUGAGUAACACGUGGAUAACCUACCUAUAAGACUGGGAUAACUUCGGGAAACCGGAGCUAAUACCGGAUAAUAUUUUGAACCGCAUGGUUCAAAAGUGAAAGACGGUCUUGCUGUCACUUAUAGAUGGAUCCGCGCUGCAUUAGCUAGUUGGUAAGGUAACGGCUUACCAAGGCAACGAUGCAUAGCCGACCUGAGAGGGUGAUCGGCCACACUGGAACUGAGACACGGUCCAGACUCCUACGGGAGGCAGCAGAAGGGAAUCUUCCGCAAUGGGCGAAAGCCUGACGGAGCAACGCCGCGUGAGUGAUGAAGGUCUUCGGAUCGUAAAACUCUGUUAUUAGGGAAGAACAUAUGUGUAAGUAACUGUGCACAUCUUGACGGUACCUAAUCAGAAAGCCACGGCUAACUACGUG